rnacentral:rRNA from 1 species
AGGGCACCACCAGGAGUGGAGCCUGCGGCUUAAUUUGACUCAACACGGGAAAUCUCACCAGGCCCGGACACUGGAAGGAUUGACAGAUUGAGAGCUCUUUCUCGAUUCGGUGGGUGGUGGUGCAUGGCCGUUCUUAGUUGGUGGAGUGAUUUGUCUGGUUAAUUCCGAUAACGAACGAGACUCUGUCCUGCUAAAUAGUUCCAGCGUCCUUAGUGCGCUGGAAAUUCUUCUUAGAGGGACUGGCGGCGUCUAGCCGCACGAGAUUGAGCAAUAACAGGUCUGCGAUGCCCUUAGAUGUUCUGGGCCGCACGCGCGCUACACUGAAGGGAUCAGCGUGUCUUCCCUCUCCGAGAGGAGCGGGUAACCCGCUGAACCCCCUUCGUGGUAGGGAUUGGGCUUGCAAUUAUUCCCCAUGAACCAGGAAUUCCCAGUAAGCGCAAGUCAUAAGCUUGCGUUGAUUACGUCCCUGCCCUUUGUACACACCGCCCGUCGCUACUACCAAUUGAACGUUUUAGUGAG